rnacentral:tRNA from 1 species
AGGAUAAUAGUUUUAUAAAACAUUUAAUUUGCAUUUAAAAAUUAUUGAUUUUCAAUUUAUCUUA